rnacentral:rRNA from 1 species
GAUGAACGCUGGCGGCGUGCUUAACACAUGCAAGUCGAACGGGAUCGGCUGGAGCUUGCUCCGGCCGUGAGAGUGGCGAACGGGUGAGUAAUGCGUGACCGACCUGCCCCAUACACCGGAAUAGCUCCUGGAAACGGGUGGUAAUGCCGGAUGCUCCGACAUGACGCAUGUCGUGUUGGGAAAGAUUCAUCGGUAUGGGAUGGGGUCGCGUCCUAUCAGGUAGUCGGCGGGGUAACGGCCCACCGAGCCUACGACGGGUAGCCGGCCUGAGAGGGCGACCGGCCACAUUGGGACUGAGAUACGGCCCAGACUCCUACGGGAGGCAGCAGUGGGGAAUAUUGCACAAUGGGCGCAAGCCUGAUGCAGCGACGCCGCGUGCGGGAUGACGGCCUUCGGGUUGUAAACCGCUUUUGACUGGGAGCAAGCCCUUCGGGGUGAG